UACAGAGGUCUCAAGCGUUGUUCGGAUUCAUUGGGCGUAAAGGGUGUGUAGGUGGCGCGCUAAGUCGGGUGUGAAAUUUCGGAGCUUAACUCCGAAACUGCAUUUGAUACUGGCGUGCUUGAGGACUGGAGAGGAGACUGGAAUUCAUGGUGUAGCAGUGAAAUUCGUAGAUAUUCGCAAGAACACCAGUGGCGAAGGCGGACUCACUGGCCCGAUACUGACGCUGAGGCACGAAAGGCGUGGGGAGCAAACAGGGAUUAAGAAACCCCGAGU
rnacentral:rRNA from 1 species